CGGUCUGUCAGUCGGAUGUGAAAUCCCCGGGCUCAACCUGGGAACUGCAUUCGAAACUGGCAGGCUAGAGUCUUGUAGAGGGGGGUAGAAUUCCAGGUGUAGCGGUGAAAUGCGUAGAGAUCUGGAGGAAUACCGGUGGCGAAGGCGGCCCCCUGGACAAAGACUGACGCUCAGGUGCGAAAGCGUGGGGAGCAAACAGGAUUAGAUACCCUGGUA
rnacentral:rRNA from 1 species